CCUCCUCCGUCCCCUGUCCCCGCCCCUGUGGCAGGGCCCGGCGGGGGGGCUGGGCCCGGCCCCUGUCCCGCCGGGCGGGACGGGAAGGGGCGGUGGCGGCGGCCGGGAGCGGGCCCGCUGCAAGUUUCGCCCGGAGUGGGAAAGUUGGGCCCCGGCAGGACCCGGCCGGGUGAGCUGGAAUCCCCUUCCCUAGCCCUGAAGUCAGAUUUGAUGUUCAAGCCACAUUUGCAGGACUUUCUAAUGUGCGUGCCCUUUGGCAUGUCGGUGUCGGUUUCUGUGUUUCUUGAGCAGUUCGGGGCUUCCACAGUGGCUUGGCUGGGACAUUUAUGCUGAGAUUCCUGGAAAUCUGAGGAGCAGUCUUUGUUGGCCACAGAAUGCGAUUCUCCUCGCAGGUGAGGGGUGUCUUGCAUGAAGGGGACUGAAGUA
rnacentral:lncRNA from 1 species